rnacentral:lncRNA from 1 species
GCUGGAAAGAGCGAGAGAAGACAUCCGCCCAGGCCUUUACUGACACGGUCUUCUCCCGAUCUCACAACAGCCAUAGGAUGCAACUGCGUCAGGUAGCAUGAUCUCUAUUAAAGAUGAGGAAACUGAGGCAGAGGCCUUUGUGCAACCCAAGGCCAGACAACUUUCAGCUACAUUGCCUUCCACUUGGCACCCCAUGACCAAGCGUUCAGGUUUCCUUGCCCUCUAGAGUGCCUGACAGGAAAUGAUCCAAAAUCCUAUCUAUGGGUUUUGAUUUUAGAAUUUGAUUUUUCUGAUGGAUCUUGUGAGACCCCAAAUCAAGAAAAUCUGAGUUCAAAUCUAGUCUCAGACACUUAUUAGCUCUGUAACCAUUUGCAAGUCACUUAACCUCAGUCUGUCUUACUUUCCUCAUCUAUAUAAUGGGGAUAAUAAUAGUACCUGUUUCCAGGAGUAAGGAACAAAUGAGAUAAUAUGGUUAAAUGCAUUGCAAGUAUUGGAGUCUUUAUUAAUGUUAGCUCUUAUUAUUAAUGCUUCUUCUUCUUAUUAUUCUAUAGGCCUCUAGGUGCACAGAGGUAGAUCAAAUUGGACCAGAACAUAUAUAUUUGGGCUGCUUUAACCAAGGAAAUUCUCAAUCUCCUCUCUAGAACCAGAAGGAAUCCCAAAAUCUAUCUGGUCCAAAACAUCCAUUUUACAGAAGGAGAAAGUGAAGUGAAUUGGUGUGUGCCCAUUAUAAAUGAACUCCUGGAUGUCACCUUCCACCUUCUGGGGAGAGCCGAGCUGGACUCGAUGGAAUCAGAUCCCUCCAGGUCUGGGCCAUCUGAUCUACUAUCCACUGUUUCCUUCCUCAAGUGUCUUCCUCCUUCUCCUCUCCAUUCAUCCAUCGUGAGAGCAGCAGCCAGCCAGGUCACUUAACAGGGAUCCUGUCCUAGUCUAACUUGUAGACUGGCUGGAACACCAGACAUCAUCAGUACUGCAAAUGCCUCAGAGUUUCUUCCUGACUUCCCAAAGCUCCCUGCACUUUGGAUAAGCCCCACAAAGUUGACCUGGUGGUGACUUGAUCUGCUUAUGAGCGUUUGGAGAGGGCAGUGAGUUGGGAGUGGGGAGGAGGGAGAAGAACCACUGUUUGAGGCUAUUCUAGUCAAGACC